GCAUGGGAAACCGUCUUCAGUCUUUUCUGUCACUCCUUUCAUAAUGACGAUUUCAUUUCCAAGGUAAGCCAAAAGAAAUCAGUCCGUUUUAUUUUCUUGUUCAAAGCCUUUCAUUCUUCAUUUUUCUUCUCUGGAGACUUCUUCUUCACUUCCCCCAUCCAGCCGAGCUUGAUCCAUUUGCAUAAUCUGGAACUCCCCUAUCCAGGUAAAACUCUUCUCCUCUUCUCAAUGAUUCUGUUGCUAUGAUAUGAGCAAGACCAUUUGCGGAUCUAGGUAUAUACUGAAAUCUGAUGUUUUCAAGUCCAUAGAUUUCCUGUUGAAUGUCAAAAAUGUAUACUUCCACCAUAGAUCUAUCUUGACUCUUCGAUUUACAUUUUUUGACUAUUGUGAGGGAGUCUCCUUCAAGGAUCAAAUGUCGCCAUCCCCUCCUGAUUCCCAUUUGAACGCCUUUCCGGCAGGCAAUUGCUUCAGCAGCAAAGGCUGAUGGAAUACCAAAAUGAAUCUCUGAAUAUGAAAAAAGAAUAGUACCAUUCGAAUCUCUGGCCACAAUACCCACACCCGACUGAUUCUUUACUUUAUCGUAAGCACCAUCAAAGUUGAUCUUCAUGAAACUUUCCUGUGGUGGCGACCAUCUCUUUUUCUCUAAGGUACGGUUCAGAUCUCUCUUCUCAAGACUAUCAAUUUCUUUGAUGUAACUGAUUAUAAGAUUUGCAACUUCCGUCCCCUUUCUAAUUUUACCUUCAUGUAUUCUUUUGUUUCUGUCACCCCAUAUUGCCCAGAGUGCACAACAAAAUACGCGACUUUGAUCAAGGUUGAGCUGCUCUAUUGCCCAGGUAAUCCACUGUACAAAAUCUUCACAAUGAUUCCUUAAAAUGCACUGAAACGAUAAUGAUCUCCAUACCUCCCUUGUAAUAUGACAGUAACGAAAUAAGUGGUUCAUUGGUUCAGCUUCUUCUCCACAUCGGGGACAGCUCGGAUUUACUACUAACUUCCGAUGUUGAAGAUUCACCUUUGUAGGCAGAUAAUUCCAAGAUAGCUUCCAUAUUGUAACCUUAAUUUUAGCUGGUAGAUUCAGGCACCAUAGUUUUUUAUAAAAAUUCCCAUAGAUGGUCUGUAAAGCAUAAGCUCUAGGAUUGUCAGUCAAUUUUUGUAAUAGUUGAUAGGCACUUCUGACCGUAAACUCACCCGACCGUUCGCCUCCCCAGAUAAGAAAAUCAUCAUGCGGUGUUUGUGCCAGAGGGAUUCUGAGGAUUCUAGCUGCGUCGUCUUCCAGGAAGGUACUAGUAAUCAACUCUUUUUUCCAACUUCUGGUAUUAUUAUCAAUCAACUCGCCAACUUUAACAUCACGCAAAAAAUUAAUAUCUGAUGAUAAUCUAAAAUUAACAGAAUCUGGAAUCCAAGCAUCGCUUAUGCAAAUAUUAGUACCCGUCCCCACCCUUCAACAAUGCCCUUUUUCCAAUAAGUCCUUUGCUGCCCAAAUACUUUUCCAUACAUACGAACUAGAAUUUCCUAACCUGAAAUUUAAGAAAUUAUCAUCCGAAAAAUACUUAGCUUUAAACACUUUCGUUACAAGCGCAUUCUGAUUAUUCAUAAUCCUCCACCCUUGCUUAGCCAAUAGAGCUACAUUGAACUGUGCCAUAUUUCGGAAGCCCAUACCACCCUCUUCUUUAGGCCUACACAUAAAUUCCCAUUGACACCAUUGAAUUCCUUUCUUUCCUUUCCCUUUCUGCCACCAAAAUCUAGCAACUAAAUUGUCAAACUCAUCACAAAGCGAUUUUGGUAAUAGAAAACAUGUCAUAGCAUAAGUAGGAAUUGCCUGAAGAACUGAUUUAAUAAAAACCUCUCUACCCCCUUGAGAGAAGAAGCGAGUACUCCAAUUAUCAAUUCUUUGCUUUAUUCUGUCUUUGAGAUUCUGAAACGAUUCUUUUUUCUUCCGGCCUACAAUAUUUGGCAAUCCAAGAUAUUUUUCCAUAUUGUUCGAAAAUCUUAUUCCCAUAUCAGCUGAUAACCUGCCUUUAUCCCCCUCCUUCAAAUUCGAACUAAAAAAGAUCAUUGAUUUAUUAAAGUUAACGCAUUGACCAGAGCAACUCUCAUAUUCUUUCAAAAUAGCUUUGAAGUUCCUUGCACUACUUUCUGUGGCUUCACCAAACAAAAUACAAUCGUCUGCGAAUAACAAGUGCGAUAUUAUCGGGCCUCUUCUGCUGGCUCUCACCCUUUUAAUCAAUCCCUCUUUUGUAGCAUUCCUGAUUAACGACGAUAAACCUUCAUUGCAAAUAAGAAAUAGAAAAGGGCUAAGUGGGUCACCCUGUCUGAGUCCUCUGGUUGGUUCAAAGACUCUACCAUUCCUCCCGUUCGUAGUAACAACAUAAGAGACUGUAGAAAUACAUCUCAUUAUAAGUACCACCCAUUCCUUCGCAAAACCCAUCCGUAUCAUAACUUCCUUCAAGAAAGCCCAUUCCACCCUAUCGUAAGCUUUACUCAUGUCAAGCUUAAUUGCCAUAAAACCUUUCUUCCCCUUACGUUUUUUCCGAAGAGUAUGCAGAAUUUCAUAAGCUAUCAAAAUAUUGUCUGAAAUUAGCCUCCCUGGGACAAAUGCACUUUGAGCACUAUCAAUGCAUCUCCCGAUGACUUCUUGAAAACGAUUGGCAAUAGCUUUAGCAAUAAUUUUAUAAAGAACUGUGCAUAAACUAAUUGGUCUAAAAUCUGCAAGGUUUGUAGGAUUGGAUUUCUUCGGAAUAAGGGUAAUCUUAGUUACAUUUAACUCUUCCACGUCUUUUCCAUUAUUUAAAACUUCUAAACAAAAAUUCCCAAUAUCUUCGCCCACUAUAUCCCAGUAUUUUUGAAAGAAUAGAGCCGGGAAGCCAUCAUAACCUGGAGCUUUUGUUGAACCCAUUCCCUUCACUGCAAUAUAAAUCUCCUCUAACGUAAAUUUUUUCAAUAGGGUUGCAUUGAUAUCCGAAGAGAUGCAAUUCUGAAUACCUGUUAGAAGAUGAGAAGGAUCUCUAACGCCUGUAGUCGAGAAAAGCUUUUGAAAAUACUGCGUCGCCAACUCAUUAAUUUUAAACUCCUCAGUAAUUCCUCUCCCAUCAUCAUUAUCAAGCCUGCUAAUUGUAUUAAUUUUUCUCCGCAUUGAUGCAUAUUUAUGAAAAAAUUCUGUAUUUUUAUCCCCCAACUUUAGCCAAUUAGCUCGUGCUCUCUGUUCCCAAUACAUCUCCUCCUUCUCGAUUUCCAUGCUCAAAUGAAUUCUUUUAUUAAUUAUCUGGUUCAUAACAUCUUCAUCAGGUUCCUUCUUCAUUAAAUCUUCAACCUCUUUUGUAGUUCUUUCUGUCAUUCCCUUCCGUUGCCUUCUAAUAGAUUUAGCCCAUUUCGAUAAGCUAAUCUGCAAGUUCUCAAGAUUUUCCAAAACCGAUCCAUUUUGUGACUUCCAGGCUUCCCGAAUUUCUUUCUCUAUUGACUCCUCUGUAGUCCACCAGGCUUCAAAUUUAUAACUUGGAACUGUCUUGAAACUGUUUAAAUUAAUUGUGCUUAUUAACAAAGGACAAUGAUCCGAAAGGGUAGACAUCAGAUGAUUAAUAUUGCCCGUUGGAAAUAACUCCAUCCAUUUUUCGUUUGCAACACCUCUAUCCAAUCUUUCCCAUAAUUCGUCUCUGGUAAAUUCCCUCUCUCCCAUGUAUACCAUACUCCUGAAUAUCCCAAGUCUAAAAAGUGACAUUCUUGUAGAGUUUCCCGAAACGCUGCCAUCUUUCUUUCAUCCAUCGGUUGACCUCUUUUUUUUCAAAAGAAUAAGCUAUUUCAUUGAAAUCUCCACUCACUAACCAAGGAUACUCUUGCUCCUGUCCCAAGAUCUUUAAUAAAUCCCAUGAAGCAUUUUUAUCUUGUGAGUAGGGAGAGCCAUAGAACCCUGUGAAUCUCCAAUCGCCAUGAGCACCUUCUCCUUUAACCAGCACAUCAAUAUGACUUAUUGACAAAGAUCUAAGGUGAAUCUGAACCUCCUCUCGCCAUGCUAAACAAAUACCACCCUGCGUACCAGUAGCUCCUACUUCAAGUCCAUUCAUGAAACCACACAUUCUUCUAAUUGCUUCCAUACGUUUUCCACUUACUUUAGUCUCCAUUAAGAAGACAAAUUGAGGAUUAUUUUGCUUCAGUAAAAAUCGAAGCUUCCUUACUGCCCGUGGACUCCCCAAUCCACGGACAUUCCAACAUAUGAUUUUCAUUGUGCCCGGUCGGCUUGCCCAUUGGCAGCCGCCGAUCCUGUCUGGUUGGAAAAUUCUAUUUGUAAAUUAAUUUCAUCCUUCGAAGUUAGAUCCUGUUCAGCACGUUUUGUCCUUUUUAGAUUCUCUUCUCGAAUCUCCUUUACCCCAUCUUCAUCUUGCACUAAUUCUGCCAAUUUCCUUUUUUGCAAUUUACGAUCAGCCUCAUGGUUCUCCUUCCCUCCCACUAUUUUCCUUCUUUUCCAACUAACUUUCCUGGCUAAAACUAGAUUACUGACAGUACUAUCUACAUUACCUCCUUCAUUGAUACCUGCUUCCUUGUGUAAUUCAAGAUCUGCAACAGCUGAUGCCAAACAAGAACUAUCCUGGAUCCCUCCCACUAAACCACUACUUUGCUCCAUGUACUGAUAUUCUUCCUGGUUCUUUGUAAUGCCUCCAACAUAAGAGCAUUGUGGUUGUGAUUUUUUCAAUAAAGCAUUAAACUUUAAACUCUCCCUUCCCACUAACUUUGAUUCUGCUUUUAAUGCUAAAGAAAAAGGUAGAUCCACUUUAAUUCUGUUUUUCUCUACAGGAGUAAAUUCCGAGCAAUCGUGGAUGCCAUGCCCUAACUUGCCACAUCCAAAACAGUAAGUCGGCAACUUUUCAUACUUAAAUGGGAUCCAAGAUUUAUUCCCAUUCCCUAUUGUGACAAAAAUACCCCUUCGAAGAGGUUUCUGAACAUUUAACAGCACUCUAAGCCGACAAAAUUCACCAAGAAUUUCAGAUCUGAUUACCUCUCCAAAAGUGACUCCUAUAGCAUGCAAAAGGUCUUUUUUAUCAAACUCUGGUAGACACGGCCCAAUUUUAAUCCAAAACGGUGAUGAGACAAGCCGAAUUUGAUCUCUUAACAUUGAUUUAUUCAACCGAUCGAACAGGAUUAAUUGCUUCCUAAACAACCAUGGUUGGCCUUCCAAAACAGUCUCUAAAUCCUCUUCCAAUUCAAACUCAAUCAAAAAGAGAUUUUGUCCAGCAACUUGAAUCACAAAUUUCUUCCUUGUCUUCCAAAUACUCCUCAUCUGUGCUUUGAAACUAUCUUGAUUGUAAGGUUUCUUUGUCCAUACAGAACAUAUCAAAGAGAAAUUGCCACUUGGUUCCACCAUCGAACUUUUAACCGAAAGUUGAAUAAGCUCUUCUGUUAAUAAGGCGAUCUCAUCUCCCCCAAACCCAUCGUUACCACCGCUCUCCAUUAUCCCAAGCCGCAGCAGCCACUGUUUUCGCUAAGAUACCAAGGAUAGCACUCUUGGUUUCUAGGGUUUUAUAGUAAUAUAAUAUUAAAACUAAUAAUUUUUUAGUAACAUAAUUGAAAAUUUCAUAAAUUAAUCUUAAAAAUUAGUAAUUUUUUUAAAUGUAAGAGAAAUAUAAUUUUCUAAACAUUAUUAAAAUUUUAUUUAUAUAAUUUUAAAAAUACACAUUAAAAAUUAUUAAAAAGAACACAUUAAAAAACUAUUUAAAAUUUUUAAAAAAUAAUUUAAUCUUUUAAGCAGCAUACAUGAAUUUAAAUUUCAAAAUAUGUACAUGAUAUACUUUAAACAUAGAUGAAUAAAAGUAAACUUUAAAAAGUUUCUAAAAAGUUAAAAUAAUUUUUUGAAAAACAUUAUUACAAAUACAUUUCAUAAAUAAAAUUUUAAUAGAUUUCAUGAAUACUUUUUUUUUUAUAUUUGUUUAAUUUAAGAAUUUGUAUAUAUCGUACUUUAAUUUUAUCAAAUAAACAUUGA
rnacentral:lncRNA from 1 species